rnacentral:lncRNA from 1 species
GAAGCGUGCCAUUCGGCCACUACUCUAUCUCUAUAAACACCAAUAACAAUUUCUUGGCAGACUCUGUCACAGUGGAAAUGACCAGCCUGUAAAUUGAUAUUUUUCCUCACCAUAUGACAACAUACGCCACCAUCAUAAACCCGCAGCAAACUACUGCACCUCUGCUGCAUUAUCUUAGCCCAAUCUUCCAUGUCAAAAUGUCAAAAUCUC